UACGUAGGGUGCAAGCGUUGUCCGGAAUUAUUGGGCGUGAAGAGCUCGUAGGUGGCCUGUCGCGUCGGCUGUGAAAACUCGGGGCUCAACUCCGAGCUUGCAGUCGAUACGGGCAGGCUAGAGUUCGGCAGGGGAGACUGGAAUUCCUGGUGUAGCGGUGAAAUGCGCAGAUAUCAGGAGGAACACCGGUGGCGAAGGCGGGUCUCUGGGCCGAUACUGACACUGAGGAGCGAAAGCGUGGGGAGCGAACAGG
rnacentral:rRNA from 1 species